rnacentral:lncRNA from 1 species
CAGCAGCUCUGUUCCUGCCCCUCCCUUACGUGGCUGGGAAUUCACAUUAUGGCCAAAGCAGGUUUGAAUUGCCUCUCGAGGUGGCUGGGUGCUCUGGAGGAGAGAAAUCUAAUUAACACUCGUUCCCUGCUCAGCUGGACAUAGACAUGAAGCAAGACCAGACCUGGGAGUAGGUCGUGUGGUUCCUACUAGAGCACGCAGGGCCAGAGCUCCUGUGUGCUGGCUGUGCAGGAUGUGGUGGGCUGGGGCCAGUUCUUGUGCACGUCUGACCCAGAAAAUGUUGAAGUACCUCAUUAUCUCCAGAGGAAGCUCGUUCCAGGCUUGCUUUGUUUGGCCUAUGAGCACUUCCCCAGGAACACAGCUUCAGCUGCUGGUAGAAGACUGGGACCAAGCUGAAGACAGAAAUCUUGGCAAAUGUUGUAAGAUAUUCAUCAACAGAUGUAAUAAAAAUACUUUAAAACUUUGCCUCACUUACAUCCUUGGACCAUCACAGCUGUAAC